AACUGCGCGGCUGAUUUCGUGUGUCGCCCCACCCCCUUCAGUUGCUCCCGAUAGGUGACUUUUUAAAGUCGUGGUUAAAUAAGCAAACGCCCUUUCGGUGGCUUGGGGGAGUUUAAGGAUGAGCUCUCAAGCCCCGCCAGCGUUUGUGCGGAUGCCCGGACUUGUUUUAUUUUCGGUUUGAUCCCAGUGUGUCACGUUGUAGAAAAGCAAGAUAUCUGUGAAGUGUCAAAACAAAGACACAAACAAACACAAGCCUCGCUCGUGAUGGGAAGCUAGCGGCGAGGGUGAGGGGCGGGGGAGUAUUAUUAAAAAGAAAUUGCAUGCUCCGUUUCUCGAGGAAGUCAGGUUUGAGUCAAUGUAGUAACCCCCCUGUGUUGGGUAAGCAAAUUAAGAAGAUGCCUCAGAAAACCACGUUUGAUCGGGGCUUGUUUACAUCUCCUUCCCAGCGGGUAUUAAGAGCGUGUCGAAGGGAGUUCCUGGAAUUUUUGUUGGCUCAGAAAUGGCCCGGCAUUCCCUAGUUUACUAAAUUGUGGUCUGGGGGCAGCACCCACGAAGUAAAUCCUGGCGAGAUCGCUGAUGUCUGGGGAAGAUACUUUCUUCCCGUCCUUCCCAUGCCGCUGAGCAGAUAGAAACGAGAACUCCUGCUCCUCUCAGCGCCAUUUCAGCAGAGACACAAAAUGGGCUCAAGAGUCUGGCUCAGGUGCGCGAAUUGGGCACUACGUAGCAGCCGCAGCCUUGCGGGUCUGGGUUAGGCCGGCCGUUGUAGGGCGAUGGAGCUGUGCCAAGAUAGCCUCCUUCGUGUAGACAGUUCGGUUUUCAGAAGGCCUUGCGUUUUGCAGCCUCUGCACAUUCCAGACACCCAGAGAAGUGUAGUGAGCGUUUGGGGUGGGCAAAGAAUGCAGGGAACACUUCAAGGGCAGGAAGUCUCUAAAGAUGAUUUUUGAACAUUUCUGAAUUUGUUUUUAUUAGGGCGGAAGACUCCAGGGCACUUGGGCUCUAAAGGCGUCGAAUACCACAAAGGCUGCAAGACCAAGAGAAACAGGAAGCUGCUUGAAAUGGCCAGAAAAUCAAGUCUCAGGUUCCGCCCCCCCCCAGGUAUGUAAAUGUGGAUAUUAUAUUAUAUCAUGUAUGUAUUAAAUAUCAGUGUGCAUACAGGCGCGCACACAUGUGCUGUACUGUAAAUAACCCCCUCUUAAUGCGCUGCACGCACAAUGCAUUUGGGGAAAACGCUAGACCAAAAAUGCAUUUAGCUUUUGAGCACAUGUACAGAGAAAUGCUACCGACCAUUCCUCUGCACAAACGGAAACCCCGGUUUUUGGAAAGUCUGAAAUUUUACUAAAACGGAAGGUUCUUAGGCGGACCCAAAAGGCAGUCUUUACUCCGGCAAAAUUCCCCUUAAGGCAAACAGAAAUGUGACUUGAGUAAGAAGCUGCUCAUUAUGAAAAUACAAAAUUCAAACUGGAAGUUCAUUUAUAAUAUGCACAAGAGCCACCAUAAUAAAAACAGUAACUACCGCCCCGCUGCUUUUUUGAAUAGUAGGUAGAAUAUAGAUUUAAAUCUUUCCCUCUGUAUAAAAAUAUUGAAUUUCACUUUAUAUAUAAUUAACUUUCCUUUAGUUUAUGGCACUUCCGCCUUCCCACCCCGGUGCUUAAAAUAGUAAAUCGUUCACUAGCACUUAUACUGCUGUUACCCUUUCUGCCGGUACGAUUUUACUAGACCAGUGACUCGCCUGUGUAUAUGUGUUUCGUUUGAAGGGAUUUAAAAUACAGUUUUAACUUAGUCCAGUGGCCAGGAAAACACUACAAUUUCUAUUGACCUUAGAACCAUACUAGAAAGCUCACUGCUUUUGAAGUUAGUUUUUUUAUGUUGAAAUCUAAAUGCUGAAAGAUACUGCACAAAAGCGCAGCAAAUUAAAUGGUGCAGCACCAUGUCUACUGAAGGAUUAUUAUCAAAUGCACAAAUUACCCCUUUUCAGUAAAAUGUUGAUGUUGUAAUCUAAAUUGUCCUUGCAUCUCUUACAACAUAGCUUUUCAGGUAAUUCCAAUUUUGUUUUGUGCGAGAAUAUACAUAAACGUUUGCUAAAUACAUAAAUAACUGAACCUAAGUAGAAAUCAAGAUUGAGAAUGUACUUUAGUUUCUAGUACUCCUGAAGGAGAUUAAAGUUUUUAAUGUCUGUACUUCACUAUAUAUGACAUAAAUAACUCACUCUAAUGCAUACCCCCUUUUUUUUCUGCAUGAGCUAGUGUUUCUACGCAUAUAUCGUUUAGUUAAUGUAUUUGGUCUCGGACGAAAAUAUUAUAUCACGACUUCAGUAGUGAGAUUUAAAAUGAAAGGGCACCCUUUCCGAAAAUGAUAUUUAGGUACAGAUAUAGCAAUUGCUGAAAUUCGAGAAUUUAAAGCACUUGGUGGGUUUGAGUCAUCGUGUCACAAUUACAGUUACAGAUAAAAACAACAGGUUAUUAAAACUAAAACUGCUUUCAGAAAGAUCGGCGUGUUUGUAAUAGACUUUCGGUUUUCUCGUUAACUGAGAUGAACUAGUUUUCUUCGAUCAUUUCAUAAGUGUGGCUUUGGUGCCUAUUCCUUCGGACUGUCCUCUCUCAUGCAGAUCACCCCCACAGAACUAAAUGGGGGCUUUGUAUGAGUAGGGGUGCAGGAUCGGGCCCUGAAAACGACCAAGAAAUACUAGAGGAUAAAUAUUAAAUGGGGCAUAUAGUUAUAUCUUUAUCUAGAACAAGCCAACUGAAGCAUGCAUGUCGUUUUAGCAUGUUAAUAAUGUCUGAUGUUUAUCUGAGGAGUCAGAUUUAGUGUUUUGUGACUUUAAAUACCGAUGAAGUGAGCUGUAGCUCACGAAAGCUCAUGCUCAAAUAAAUUGGUUAGUCUCUAAGGUGCCACAAGUCCUCCUUUCUUUUUCUUUUCUUUUCUUUUUUUUUUUAAACUGCGUUCCUUCUACAUAUUUCUGCGGACACCGAGAUGGUGUAUCGCCAUUUCAGCAUUUUGUUAAGCUUGUGAAAAAAUGGCUAGCGUUUGUAUGCACUGGAUAGAAUUUCCCAUUCCUCUUCGCCUUUUGAUUUUAUCGGCUAUUAUAGUGUCAACUUUACGCUCGCGGCAGAAGGGGUGAUUUUUGGCACAUGUAUGAGGAACAACACUCCCUGCGUAAAAGCAGUCACAAAAUGCGACACAUGCUAACAAAACUAGGUUUACUUUUUUUAAUCGCCGGCAGCCUGAUUGAGUGCAUGGCGAAUAAAUAGCGAAAAGAACAAUCGUGGAAGGGGAUCGGCUGACUUUCUGAAGGACUACAUUGAUGUGUCGCUUUGCCACCCCCACGCUAUGAGCAGUCAGUCCGAGGUGAAAGUAACAACUGACGCUCCCCGCACUUUGGAGCUGCUGUGUGUGAUGAUAGCUGUAUAAUGUCUGCGAGGCUUGUAAAGGGCCCGAGUCUCCGAGGCGCUGCGUUCACUAAAACCAGAGCGUGCUAAGCGCUCAGCACCUGCAGUCUUUUUGGUUUGCACCUUUUGUACUCCCCACCUCCCACCGGGUCUUGAGUCUCCUGCCUGGCUCCCCGUGAACCCCUCUCGCUGGUCCCUGUACCUGGAUCGGCGUCCUGUCGUAGGAAUUGACUGCAUUGGGGUCCGCCCCCUGGUCCAGCAGCUCCCUCACCUUCCCCAAAUUCCCUAAGGCAGCGGCGUUGGCCAUGUCGUUGGCCCCAGGCUGGCCCAUGCCUCUUCCUCGCUGCUGGAUCUCACAUCUAUUCGCACCAGUGUCCGGGGCACCCGUCUGGCGCUUCCCCCUUCGGCAAUCUCUCGGGGGUGGUCCAGCUCGCACAGGUCUCCUAAGCCAUCAGAGCGCGGCGCGGCCGCCGGUCGCCUCUCCUCCGAGAACCCCGAGGGGCAGCGGCGCUUCCUGGGGGAGGGGGGCAGCCGCUCCAGCGGUGCCCACCACCGGGCAGGCGGGUCUGAUCUGAACAGCUCCCCGGGCUUUCUUCCUGCUCUCUCCCGCUUUGCCCUCCUCUUUCUUCCCCUGCUGCUCCCGGGCCCAGGUUCAGCACCUCCGCGGCGCCGAGCGAGAGGUGAGGUCCCACCGGCUGCAGGGACACCGCCUCUGCGGCUCAGCUGGAGAAGCCCAGGACUUGUUUUCUUCGUUCAGCUGGCGCCCCUCCCCGCCCCGCGCCUGUCCCCUCCCCGGCCCUGCCGCCCGGUACGUGUUCUGACUUGCCCAGCGCCUGAUGUCACGCACCCAGGCAAGCAGCGGCCAGCCAGGGAACAGCUGGGGAGCGCGCGGCGUGAGAGCCCGUCCCGGGAGGCGCAUGCGCUCCUAGCUUCCGACUGGCGUUCUGUUGUAGAACGCAGGCAGCCAAAGGUUCGGGGGAAGGAACCUUCCCGUCUCCGUCCCCCCUCGCUCCCCCGCCCCCACGCACGCCCUCCCCGCUUUUGCAGAGUCAGCGGAGGGCUUGCGGCGGGGGCCGCUGCUGGAUGGUGCUCCCAGGGCCAUGCAGCGGGCGGGGGGAGGGCGGCCCGGCGCUGGCACGGGCUCGGCAGUAAUCUUGCCUGCCUUCAGCACAGGCAGCUCCUUCCCUGGGCUGCGGCCUAAUCUCGCCCGCCAGCCCCACGCGCCGGAGGGAGGGAGGGCUGGAAGAACAGCCCAACAAACCCCAGCCCCUCCAGAGCCUUCAUUCAGCCUUGGCAAUGGCCACUGAAGCGCGAGGCUGUUGCUGACGGGCAGAGUGACCUUGAACAAGCCGUCUCCUCUGUUUCGUGCCUCAGUGGCCUCGUCUAGAAAGUAGGGCCAGUCCUUCCGCAGCCUCCCAGGGGACGUGAAAGCCAGUCCACGGAUGGUUGUAAAACGCUUUGAAAGCCUCAGAUGACAGAAAACUGUCUCCAGGUGAAGCAAUCAGAAACAACACACAGAGCAAAGAAAAUUACCAGGUCUGAAAUGGAAACCCAGCUAUUUAAAACAAAAGGGGCACUUGCCAGAUGUGUAUAAAAGGCCGUAUUUCUGUAAAUAGCUGCACCAGUACAGACCCGUAUUCCAUGCAGAGUUUGUUCCUUUUGAAGUCCAAGUGGCUCUACGCAGACUUAAGAUCUUUGUGAGCACAGCAAUAUGAAGGAUUGCAGUCUAUGCUUGUUUGUGUUGGGGAACAUUGAAAGAGGAAGGAGGAAGUACAGACUCCAGAGAUUAAAAAAAAGAAAACCGUCAAUAAGCAAAAAAAAGGUGCAAACUUCCAGCUGACCACAGUCUGCUUCCCCACUGCAGCGUUCCUUCUAGAAGUCUGCAAGCUCCUGAGCACCAUAGGAACAAAGCCCCAUGGACUUUUCUACAAGCUGCAUCUAAUAUUUGGGGUAAGAGACCCUGGUUUCUGUGAUGCCUCCAUGCAGCGAGCCUGAAAUUCUGGAACAGAUUCAGAUAGUAUGCUGUUAUCUCCUCUUUGCAGCCUGGAGUGAAACCAGCGGAAGAAAAUGAAUGCUCCUUUAUUUCAGUGUAUGAAAUUAAAUGUCUCUGGAGAAACAGAAAAUAUGAUUGGGGUCAACUUGUUGGUUCAAGUGCUAUGACUCUGAGCCUUUCGUGUUUGAUUCAGAGCCAAUGGAAGUGAGCUGGAGUCCAAAUCGUGCCACUCCAUCACCAUUGUCAAUAACUGGCACUCUUCUUGUCAUUCUCAAUAGACAAGGAUUGGCUAGCACUGCCCUCUCAUCUAUGCAGCCUGUGAGCUCCUUCGAGUAGAGACCCUCCUUCUUGAAUGCUCAGAAAGCAUUGAGCGCAGAGGGAUGAUAUAAUAAAUGAUCAUCACCAUCAUCAUGGCAGAUCCCAAAGAGGCAUCCCCUCCUUCUGUAUUGAGUUCCAUGCAGCAUAAUCUGCAGGAUCCCGGAAUGGCCCUUUCAAAGGCUUUGUUGGUCAUUUUUGCCUCCGUGGCCAUUUGGGCCACAAGGACACAGGUGGUCAAUUUCACUAUAAACCCCCUCAUGAUGUGAAGGUACAGACCCUGGAGGGUGCUAUAAUAAAUAAAUGAUAGUCGUCAUUUUUUUUUUUUUUUGGAUGCUGAACAUUUGGUAUGUUGUCUUUUUAGGUUCCCAUCUUUCUUGUACAGGAACAUAAUGGCUAUGGGUGAGAUUCUGUGCUGCAGCUCUCAGAGGCCCGUAGCAGAGCUCUUAGCUCGGAGGAGGGGCCCCUCUGGGGCCUCCAGCUUAAUUUAGAAAGCUCUGGGGGGCUGUCUAAAUUACAUCAGGCUCCUGGGCUACAGUGCUGCUCAGAAUAUCUGUAGCAUCGUAUGCUGCAACCUUGACCUGACACGCCCUUCCCACUCCCUGCCCUAUCCUGCUCUGCCUCCUACACUAGAGUUGGUGAGGGUGGGUAAUUAGAGGGCAGCCUUACAGCUGUCAACCAGAGAGCCUGCAGCAGGGGAAUCCUCCCCUGCCUGAAUAUAGGCUUUUAAGGCCCCUUUCUGCCAUGCCAGUCUCUUUAUCUGAUGUAAAGGAGCUGGAGUGGGAAGGAAAGUGGGGGUGAUCUCAUCUAUGUAUACUGAUAUAUGCCAUGUGGACAGAUGGACAUGUGCAAUCGAUAUGAAAUGUGUGUCAUUUUAAACGGUGUUUAAACCCCAUUAAAAUGUGGGAAAAUAAAUCUAACUGUCCCUGUUUCUUAUUUUCUUUUAACCAAUCAUUAUUUUAUUGUUUAUUUCCUAAAAAAAGAAGAGCAAAUAAAAUGCAUUCUAACAAAGCAAAAAGACAGCUUUUAGCUUUGAAACCAAACGCUUCAUCAAGAAUGGGCAAGAUGACACAGCCUUCAGUCUGACAAUGAGAAGGUGCCAGUGUCUGGCAGCAACCUGAUUUGCUAAAGCGUCAGCGCUAGCGUUGUGAUCAGAUCUUGACAGACUGUUUCCAUAAUGUUUGAUUUACUGUGAUCCAGGUUAUUAAUUUGACACUCAGUCUUUAUGGAUGAUGCCACAACAAAGUCUGUGGCUCUGCAUCUUAUAUUUCUAGCAAUAGCAAGGACGACAGUGGGUAUAUUGCUUACUCAAUGGCUUAGUGGGGACGAGUAGUAUGGUGUCACUUUCUAAAUACUAGCACUAGGUGGUGCUAAUAAACCUUGCACAGAAUUGUUAAAUCUUAGUUACACAAAACGUUAUGAAACAAAAAUCUAAGCUAACAAUGAUUUUAAAAGUUGUAUUUUAAUCUGCACGAUUUAUUUGAUUAAACUCUCUCUGAUAAGCAAUUUACUCCACAGGUCAAUUUACUAUGUAUUUAUUAAUUUGAUUUUAAGUGGGUUUAUGCUUUUUC